rnacentral:rRNA from 1 species
UACGUAGGGGGCAAGCGUUGUCCGGAUUUAUUGGGCGUAAAGAGCGUGUAGGCGGUCAGGUAGGUCCGUUGUGAAAACUCGAGGCUCAACCUCGAGACGCCGAUGGAAACCAUCUGACUAGAGUCCGGAAGAGGAGAGUGGAAUUCCUGGUGUAGCGGUGAAAUGCGUAGAUAUCGGAAGGAACACCUGUGGCGAAAGCGGCUCACUGGACCAUUACUGACGCUGAGGCACGAAAGCUAGGGGAGCAAACAGG